UACAGAGGUGGCAAGCGUUGUUCGGAAUUACUGGGCGUAAAGGGCGCGUAGGCGGCCUUCUAAGUCAGACGUGAAAUCCCCCGGCUUAACCUGGGAACUGCGUCUGAUACUGGGAGGCUUGAGUAUGGGAGAGGGAUGUAGAAUUCCAGGUGUAGCGGUGAAAUGCGUAGAUAUCUGGAGGAAUACCGGUGGCGAAGGCGGCAUCCUGGACCAUAACUGACGCUGAGGCGCGAAAAGCUAGGGGGAGCAAAACGGGG
rnacentral:rRNA from 1 species